GAACGCACAUUGCGCCCGCCAGUAUUCUGGCGGGCAUGCCUGUUCGAGCGUCAUUUCAACCCUCAAGCUCUGCUUGGCGUUGGGGAUCGGCAACCCGGCUUCGCGCCGCGCCGUCCCUCAAAUACAGUGGCGGUCACGCUGCAGCUUCCUUUGCGUAGUAGCACACCUCGCACCGGAGGGCAGCGCGGCCACGCCGUAAAACCCCCGACUUCUUGUUUUUGACCUCAAAUCAGGUAGGACUACCCGCUGAACUUAAG
rnacentral:misc_RNA from 1 species